rnacentral:lncRNA from 1 species
CACACUGUUAAAUGUGUUUAAAAAAACUCAUAAUCUGGCCUAUAAUAUACAAAUGAAAGAAGGCCAAAUGAUCAGAGGAAGGCCAGCUACUGAAUAAUAUUAAUAAUGACACUAAUGAAAAUCCAAAUGGCUCCUGACUGAGGACCCAUUAGAAGAAAAAGGUCAGCUCAUUUACUUAAAUCCCAGUCUGGCAAAACCAUUUUAUCUAAAUAGAAUAGACGAGAAUAAAGGUCCUGACAACUUUUGGCCCAACACAGAAUCCCAAUUCCUUUUGUUCUAGCAUCAUCAAAGGCCAACACUGCCAGGCAUUAGACUGGUACCAGAUCCUGCUGAA